rnacentral:tRNA from 1 species
GCUAGAAUAAGUUAAUAAAACUGUAGGCUUGUGGCGCCUAAAAUUCGCGUAGAUUCUAGCAC